rnacentral:rRNA from 1 species
GAGCGGAUGACGGGAGCUUGCUCCUUGAUUCAGCGGCGGACGGGUGAGUAAUGCCUAGGAAUCUGCCUGGUAGUGGGGGACAACGUUUCGAAAGGAACGCUAAUACCGCAUACGUCCUACGGGAGAAAGCAGGGGACCUUCAGGCCUUGCGCUAUCAGAUGAGCCUAGGUCGGAUUAGCUAGUUGGUGGGGUAAUGGCUCACCAAGGCGACGAUCCGUAACUGGUCUGAGAGGAUGAUCAGUCACACUGGAACUGAGACACGGUCCAGACUCCUACGGGAGGCAGCAGUGGGGAAUAUUGGACAAUGGGCGAAAGCCUGAUCCAGCCAUGCCGCGUGUGUGAAGAAGGUACUUCGGAUUGUAAAGCACUUUAAGUUGGGAGGAAGGGCAGUAAGCUAAUACCUUGCUGUUUUGACGUUACCGACAGAAUAAGCACCGGCUAACUCUGUG